rnacentral:tRNA from 5 species
GGCCCGGUGGCGGAAGGUUACGCGGGAGCCCUGCAAGGCUCCUUAUCCUGGUUCAAAUCCAGGCUGGGCCUCCA